GUGCCUCGGAUUCCUUUUCCUUAUAAAGAAGUCGUCCCUACCGUAGAGAGUGACCAGGGGGCCCCAGGGAGGGACCCAGCCAGCCUUCGCGGGGCCGCCCCACGCGGGCAGGUUCAAACGGUGGAAAUCCAUUCUCUCCCAUCCCGGAAGCCGGAGUCCAAGAUCAAGACGCCCAGGGCGGUUUCCCUCCGAGCCUGUGGCGGAGGCCCUGUUCCAGGCCCUCUCCCAGCCGCCAGUGGGUGCGGCAGACCUGGGCGUUCCUCGGCUGCUAGAGGCAUCACCCCGGCUGCCUUGGUCCUUCUCCCGCUGUGCAUGCCUGUGUCCAAGUUUCCCUCUUAUGUGUUAUGUUUCAUUACGUUUUCGUUCUGGUAUAGUUAACUUGCAGGGUUAUAUUAGCUGCAGGGUUAUAUUAGCUUGCAGGUUAUAUUAUAUUCGGUAGAGUGGUUGGCCAGUUCUCCACGCCACCCAGUGCUCAUCACUAUCCCCUUCGCCUCGUUCGUCCGUGCCCCCACCCACCUUCCCUGGGGAGACCACGUGUUUGUUCUCCAGAUAAGAGAUUUUGUCUCUCUUUUUCCCUGUUUGUUUCUUUUGUUUCUCAAAUGCCACAAGUGAGUGAGACCUUAUGGUACGUGUCCUUCCCUGAUGGACUUACUUCACUGAGCAUUUUCCCUCCGGAUCCAUCCACACUGUUGCAAAUGGCGAGAUUUCAUUGCUUUCAAAUUUCCCCUUUUUAUAAGUACCUCCACCUAUCCUGCCGAGGCUAGGAGGCGACGUAACGGAACAGUUGGAACAGGACCGCUUGCUGGCCUCACUCGUGGCCCUGCAACAUGUACAAAAGGAAAUAACCAGGGCCUUCGCUCAUCCUCCUGUUCUUCCCCACCCCUUUCAACCAGGAGACUUGGUCUGGGUCAAGAGGCACGAGCCUAAAACCCUGGAGCCGCGCUGGAAAGGACCGCACGCACACCGUGAUCCUGACUACGUCCACGGCCGUGAAGGUGGACGGUGUCCAAACCUGCAUUCAUCACUCCCAGGUUAAGAAAAACUGUGUGAAGGCGGGAACACCCCAGACUGAUAGGGAAGCAGAGAACAAACAGCAGUGGAAGGUCCCAAGGCACCCAGAGGAUCCUUUAAUGCUAAGACUGAUGCGGGCAUAAUAAUAAUAAUGAUUGUCUGGGUUUGUAUAAUGGUAAGCGUGGGGGACUGUAUGGAAUUACCUCCCCUGUCUUUUUGGCCAUGCCAAUGGGAACUCAGGGACACUGUCACGGGGAAGGUGAUAGCAUCCAAUACCUCUUCCACUGUGCCUUGUUUUUUGUUUGAUUUAUGCGACUUGGUGGGGGGACUCAUGGGGGACUUUAGUUACUAAUUAUAAACAGCCAACGGGCUUCGCUGCUCCGGUCCCCGAAAACCCCUGUAUGGUUACCUAUGGAUGUGGACACAGGGAUCGAGAACAAAAAUUGGCCGACAUACCAGGGUUGACCUGCAAAUGGAAAGGUCAGAUGGGAAGGAAAAGGCCAGCGAUAAUUGGUAUCAGAGUUUAUUCUCUUGGUCCCUCUGGCUCACGUCACUGCUCACCCCUAUAGCUGGGCCACUGCUAUUGUUACUUCUCAGGUUAACUGUCGGCCUGCGCAUUAUCAAUUGGUUAGUAUGUCGAGAGGCGGGUUGGUGAAAUAAAAAUUAUGAUGAUGAGGUCCAACUAUGUCCCCUUAGUUCCUAGUGAUGAAUCAAGGGAUUGAUUCACUGACAAGAAAAGGGGGAAAUGUAAGGGUUAAAUUGUAGUGUGGGGCUAACAUGUAGCUUGAAAAAUAACAGCUUUGUUCUGACACUUAGGGUCAAGAGAUAACAGCCUUGCUUUAUUCUUGUAAAUUACGCUCUCUACUCCUGUAAAUCAGGCUUCACCAACGAAGGAAACAAACGCUCAAAGAAAAGAGCGUCAGAGUCAGGGUCAAGGAGAUCCACUGGUUGCAACUUAGGGGCAGAAAGUCUAAAAUAAUCACCUCAUCCGGCAACUGUUUCUAACUCAUCUGGGAACUCUUUCUCCGUUCUGUUCCCAGGUGAUGAUAAAACGAUGUGAUCGGCCUUAAAAACUCUGUACCCCGGCUGUUCGAGGCCGCACUCUGAUCAAGAGUGGUGGUCCCGAUCGGUCUGCCUUGCCUCUCGUUGCAAUAAACUUUGUUGUGACUGUCA